rnacentral:rRNA from 1 species
GCAGAUCUUGUGCCAGAGAACGAAACUUCUGGGUAUAUUUUUAUUCACGCCGAGGGAGGAUUGAACCAGCAACGAAUAGCUAUAUGUAAUGUUGUUGCAAUUGCUAAGAUAAUGAACGCCACACUUAUUUUGCCUGUGCUGAAGCAGGAUCAAAUAUGUAAAGAUCAAACGAAAUUUGAAGAUAUCUUCGAUGUAGAUCAUUUUAUAAAUUAUUUGAAGGAUGAUGUCCUCAUCUUUCGAGAUAUUCCUGACUGGUUCACAGAAAAAGAUGAGUUGUUCACCAGUAUAAGGCGUACUGUAAAAAAUAUCCCAAAAUAUGCACCAGCACAGUUUUAUGUUGAUAAUGUCCUUCCAAAGAUCAAAGAGAAAAAGAUAAUGUCUAUCAAACCAUUCGUUAAUAGAUUGGGGUAUGAUAAUGUUCCAAUGGAGAUUAACCGGCUCAGAUGCAGAGUUAAUUAUCACGCCUUAAAGUUUCUACCUGGCAUUGAAGAAAUGGCUGACAAACUGGCAACAAGGAUGCGGAAUCGAACUGGGAGUGUAAAUCCAUACAUGGCUCUUCAUCUUAGGUUCGAGAAAGGAAUGGUGGGUUUAUCCUUUUGUGAUUUUGCUGGAACCAGAGAGGAGAAAGCAAUGACGGCUGAAUAUAGAAAGAAACAAUGGCCAAGAUGCUUCAAGAAUGGAUCUCACCUUUGGUCUUUAGCACUGGAAAAGAGAAAAGAAGGCCGCUGCCCGCUUGAGCCUGGGGAAAUAGGUUUCAUUCUGCGUGCAAUGGGAUAUACGAAGGAGACUCAGAUAUAUGUUGCAUCAGGGCAAGUGUACGGUGGAAACAAUAGAAUGGCGCCGCUGAGGAAUAUGUUCCCCAAUUUGGUUACCAAAGAAGAUCUCGCAAGCAAGGAGAUAGAGCAUUUCAAGAAGCAUGUAACUAGCCUCGCUGCACUGGACUUCCUGGUAUGCCUGAAGUCAGAUAUGCUCGUCAUCACCCAUGGUGGCAACUUUGCGAAGCUGAUCAUUGGCUUCCGGCGCUAUAUGGGGCGGCAUAGGCUCAAGUCUAUCAAGCCGGACAAGGGGCUCAUGUCGAAGUUCUUCGGCGACCCAUACAUGCCAUGGGCGAAUUUCGUGGAGGAUGUGAUGAUCACUCACCAGACACGAACAGGCCUCCCCGAGGCCACCUUCCCGCACUAUGACCUCUGGGAGAACCCUCUCUCCCAUUGCAUGUGUAGAGCAUAA